rnacentral:rRNA from 1 species
GACAGAGGAUGCAAGCGUUAUCCGGAAUGAUUGGGCGUAAAGAGCUCGUAGGCGGCCUGUUGCGUCCGCUGUGAAAUCCCGGGGCUUAACCCCGGGCUUGCAGUGGAUACGGGCAGGCUGGAGGCAGGCAGGGGGAGAACGGAAUUCCCGGUGUAGCGGUGAAAUGCGCAGAUAUCGGGAGGAACACCGGUGGCGAAGGCGGUUCUCUGGGCCUGUACUGACGCUGAGGAGCGAAAGCGUGGGGAGCGAACAGG